GACAACGUGUCCGAGCGGUUAAGGAGCUUGACUCGAAUACUCGAUAUCAAGUAGCGUAAGCUGCACAGGUUCGAAUCCUGUCGUUGUCG